rnacentral:rRNA from 1 species
AUUGAACGCUGGCGGCAGGCCUAACACAUGCAAGUCGAGCGCGCGACGGACGGGUGAGGAAUGUAUGGGGACUGCCCGUUAGGGGGGGAGAACAACUGGAAACGGUAGAGAAUAACGCAUAUUAUCUGAUAACCCAUAUGUGAUUAGCUAGUAGGUGAGGGAAAGGCUCUCAUAGGCGACGAUCCCUAGCUGGUCUGAGAGGAUGAUCAGCCACACUGGGACUGAGACACGGCCCAGACUCCUACGGAGGCAGCAGUGGGGAAUAUUGCACAAUGGGCGCAAGCCUGAUGCAGCCAUGCCGCGUGUAUGAAGAAGGCCCUAGGGUUGUAAAGUACUUUCAGUCGGGAGGCGUUACCGACAGAAGAAGCACCGGCUAACUCCGUGCCAGCAGCCGCGGUAAUUC